GACAGAGGGUGCAAACGUUGUUCGGAAUUACUGGGCGUAAAGCGCGUGUAGGCUGCUUGGAAAGUCGGGUGUGAAAGCCCUGAGCUCAACUCAGGAAGUGCACUCGAAACUUCCGAGCUCGAGUCCUGGAGAGGGUGGCGGAAUUCUCGGUGUAGAGGUGAAAUUCGUAGAUAUCGAGAGGAACACCGGUGGCGAAGGCGGCUACCUGGACAGUGACUGACGCUGAGGUGCGAAAGCGUGGGGAGCAAACAGG
rnacentral:rRNA from 1 species